rnacentral:misc_RNA from 1 species
AAGUCGUAACAAGGUUUCCGUAGGUGAACCUGCGGAAGGAUCAUUACUGUUGGGCUUGCCCAUCAAGAUGCUAUCCUCUGACUAUGAGCACUUGUUGUUUCCUCGGUGGGCUCGCCUGCCAGUGGGGACCCAGCUUGAACCAUUGCAAUAGCAGUUAUUUCUGAACUACCUACAACUAUUAAAACUUUCAACAACGGAUCUCUUGGUUCUG